CCUACGGGUGGCUGCAGUCGAGAAUCUUCCGCAAUGGGCGAAAGCCUGACGGAGCGAUGCCGCGUGCGGGAUGAAGGCCUUCGGGUUGUAAACCGCUGUCAGUGGGGUGGAAAUUAAGGGAGGUUCUCCUCUUUUAUUGACCUAACCGCAGAGGAAGUCCGGGCUAAGUACGUGCCAGCAGCCGCGGUAAUACGUACCGGACAAACGUUAUUCGGAAUCACUGGGCUUAAAGAGUGCGUAGGCGGCCUAGAAGGCGAGGUGUGAAAUCCCACGGC
rnacentral:rRNA from 1 species